GAUGAACGCUGGCGGCGUGCCUAAUACAUGCAAGUCGAGCGAACAGACGAGGAGCUUGCUCCUCUGACGUUAGCGGCGGAUGGGUGAGUAACACGUGGAUAACCUACCUAUAAGACUGGGAUAACUUCGGGAAACCGGAGCUAAUACCGGAUAAUAUAUUGAACCGCAUGGUUCAAUAGUGAAAGACGGUUUUGCUGUCACUUAUAGAUGGAUCCGCGCCGCAUUAGCUAGUUGGUAAGGUAACGGCUUACCAAGGCGACGAUGCGUAGCCGACCUGAGAGGGUGAUCGGCCACACUGGAACUGAGACACGGUCCAGACUCCUACGGGAGGCAGCAGUAGGGAAUCUUCCGCAAUGGGCGAAAGCCUGACGGAGCAACGCCGCGUGAGUGAUGAAGGUCUUCGGAUCGUAAAACUCUGUUAUUAGGGAAGAACAAAUGUGUAAGUAACUAUGUACGUCUUGACGGUACCUAAUCAGAAAGCCACGGCUAACUACGUG
rnacentral:rRNA from 1 species